AUUUUUUUGUAGGCUUUCUGUCCUGGAUCCAGAGCCCAGGUGUCUGUGUUAUGCAGAAUCUGAAAACAAAUCACAGGGAGAACACUAAGAACCCUGAAAGCCAGAAAAUGGUAAGUGUGCCUUGCUAUUUUGAGACUGGGUAGCAAGGUGGCUUAAAAGCCAUGAGUCCAGCAUAUCUCCAGAUUGCAUAGUGAAAACUGAGAUAAUUAUCAGGAGAGAACCCCAAAUGCAUUUGUUGUACUUAUGCAUGAGAGAGGCUGUUGAUUUUAGGGUUUGUUACUCAUGAGAGUUUGUUUGCUCAUUUUAUUUAUUUAUUUAUGUAUUUAUUUAUUUUUUUUGUGUGUGUGUGUGUUUGUGUGUUGUUUUCUUUUUGGUACCAGAAAUUCAACCCAGAGGCAUUCAUCCACUGAUUCACAUUCCCACCCCUUUUUUUAUAUUUUUAUUUAGAUACAGGGUCCCUUUGAAUUUCUUGGGGCCUAAGGAAUUUGAUGAUGCUGGCUUUUAACUCAUUCUCUUCAUGAGUCCUGAGAUUUUUGAAUGUAGAAGAAGCAGUAUCUCAAAUCCAGAACAAAAAUCUGAAAUCCAGAACUUCAGUGUAGCUCUCCAUAGGUCUCAGGAUAAAUCCCUAGUUUUCUAGCUCUCUGUUCACAUAUCCAGAACUAUAAUUUUCUGUUCACAGUGAAUAAGUAUAAAAUAGAAUAGAUACAAUGACCAUGUAAUCAGGAUAAUGGGCCUCACUCAACCACACAUGGAAGCUAACUGAAAGAUAUGUUAAUGAGCACAAUUAAAGCCUAUUUCAAAUGUAGAAGACCUGGUAGCCCAUUUGUGGGAACACCUUCAACAAAGUCCUUUGUUCAGGGGUGAUUCCUGAUUGAAUUUGAAGAAAAAAGGAUUGGUCACCAAAGGAAUAAAAGUGAACCCAUAUGGUAGUAGUCAGGAUGCCUUUUCCAAAGCCUAUUCUAAAUGCAUUAUGCUCCAUGUUAUGCCCAAAAACUAGUAAACUUCUAAGAUGGUACAAAAAAAUGAGUUUUUUUUUUCUGGUAUCAUUCCUCUUACCACAUGGUGGGAGUUCCAUUUCUUAGAUUUUUUUUUCAAAAUUUAUGAGACAAGCACCCAGAUGCAAUUGGAAAGCUGAGAAAUUUUGGCUCAUCUCAAAACUCCACUUUCAGCAUUAUCAAUCAUUAUUUUCUGAUGUUUUAUUUCAAAUGGAUGCAUCAUUUAUGUAUUUCUACAGGAACUGAAGGGUAUUUUUAAAAGAUUUUAAUUUAUCAUUCUGAGAUUUUUACAAGAGAAGAAAACAGAAUAAAAUUAGGUGACAUUAAAAAGAAUGAAUCUCUCCUAAAUGAGGUUUAUGUGUCCCAAUUAAGAAAUUUUAAAACUGUAAUGAGUCAUCAAUUAAGGGUUUAUUUACUUAUUAAUUAAUUUUUUUUUUUUUUUACUUAUUUAUGGUCACACUAUUUUAUUAAAAAAAAAAAAACGCACAGAAGGGGCUGGGGUUGUGGCUCAGCGAUAGAGCACUCACCUAGCACAUGAAAGGUCCUGGGUUGGAUCUUCAGCAGCACAUAAAAAUAAGUAAAUAAAUAAAUAAUCCACAGAAACAUUCCAAACAUUUCAGGAAACUCUUUUCUUCUGGUGUGGUAGAAAAAAAUAAAAGUGCAAGUAACUUGAAUUUAAAUUACAUGCAAGUUCAAUAUCUCUCUCUCUCUCUCUCUCUCUCUCUCUCUGUCCUGGGGAUUGACCCCAGGGUCUCAUGCUUAGCAGGCAAGCACUCUACAAGCUGAGCUACAUACUCAGCCCCAUUAAUUUUUGGGGGGAGACCAGGGAUUGAAGUUAGAGGCACUCUAUCACUGAGCCACAUUCCUACCCUUAUUUUGUAUUUUAUUUAGAGACAGGGUUUCACUGAGUUGCUUAGUACCUCACCAUUGAUGAGACUGGUUUUGAAUUCAUGAUCCUUAUGUCUCAGUCUUGGAAACAGCUGAUAUUAGAGGCAUGCACCACCAUGUCUGGCCAACUUCAAUCUUAAGGGAUAAAGUACACAGCAAAUUAAUUAGAUUAAAGUCCAUUUCAAUAAUUUGGUACAUUAUAUAUAUAUAUAAUAUUCUUAGAUGUUGAUAGACCUAUAUUUUAUUUGCUUAUAUGGGGAGCUGAUAAUUGAACCUAGUGCCUCACAUGUGCCAGACAAGUGUGCUACCACUGUGCCCCAACCCCAGUCCCCUGGUACUUUUUUUAUGGGGGAUAUUGGAGAUUUAACUUUGGAAUACUUGAUUGCUAAGACCCAUCCCCAGGGUUAUUUUUUUUUACUUUAUUUAUAGACAGGAUCUCAAUGAGUUUCUUAGCACCACACUUUUGCUAAGGGUGGCUUUUAACUUUUGAUACUUCUUCCUCAGCCUCUUCAGCAACUGGGAUUACAGGCUUGCACCAACACACCCAGCCCCUGUGACAGGAGUAGACAUCAAGGAUGAAUAAACAGCAUAAAGCAGCAGGAGAACUUGUUUGAACUUGUUUUGGACUUUGUAGUGGCUUUGCAGUGACUGAGUGAUUUUUAGUUACAAACAUGCUCUGGCUGGAGGAUGACUAGAUAGUGUGUACGUGUUAGAUAAGUUGAAGAAGAUGAUGUAAUGUAGGAACAUAUAGAGUAUAUAAGCGCGGGGGAAACUCCAUGUAUUUGCUCACAACUAACUCUCGUUGCCUGAGAGUAAGACCGUGCAGUUGUGUGCCAGCCACCUCGUGUAUUGCUUUGUGUGGUGUGCGAAUAAACCAGCAUUUCAAAAGGCAAUCGAGUUCGUGCUUGGUGUUCGCGUACGUCGCGGUCCGGGGUCCAGUGCAGAUAUCCGGAAGGGAACUCCUGGUAACCAGACAAGGCUGAGAAGCUGCUCGUGACACCCUGUUACAUUUUUAAUACCUAGUUUACAUAGAUUUUAACCAGUAGCCUUAACUUUUUUUCUAAUAUAUGUUUUACUUGAAUUCAUAACCCACAAAUCAGUGAAACAAAAUCUAUUUUUUGUCUCCAACACUGCUUUCUGUUAUGACAGGGUAUGAGUUAAGAUUUCCCAUUGAAGAAUUUUUUGUGUGUUGUGUUCUCAUUCUGACCUCCCAUAUGACCUAGUUCUGAGUUUUAGAAUAUCUGAAACAAGGUUCCCAGAGAUUCCAAUUUUUGGAGUAUUUGGAAAACACCACUAUCUGAGUCUUUCCUUCUAGCGACCAGUUUGAAUUUUAAGUGUGUAGCAUCUGAAGGGAUGGACUAAUUGGAUGCUUUGCAGGUGGAAAGCAUUUUCUAUCUAAAAGGUACUUCAUUUGUUUCCUUUUAUUAGAUACUGUGAAUAAAGAUGCAAUAAAAAUAGAACUGUGGCAAUAUAUUUAGCAAAAGAAUUCCAAUUCCUUUACAUAUAUAUCCAGAGUUAUUAUUAGUGGAUUCUAUGAUAUUUUUUUUACCAAAAAUUAUUAUUUAUAUCUUUUGAUUUAUUUAAAUACUGGAGAUUACCCCAGGGCACUUUACCGGUGUGCUACAUACCCAGUCUCCAACACUUUUAUUUAUUUAUUUAUUUUUGAGAGAGGGUUUUACUGAGUUUCUUAGAACCUUGCCAAGUUAUUGAGCCUGGUCUUUAACUUGAGAAUAAACCCCUAGUUUUCUACCUCUUUCCUCCUAAGCCACUGGGAGUACAGGAAUAUAUAACAUUGCACUCCUAUGCCAAAUUAUUACUAGUGGAUUAUGUGGCAUUUUUAUUUUGGUCAUUUAAAGAACCUUAACACUUUUAUAACCAUAUAUUUAUUACAUGUAAUUGUCACCAACAUUUUUACGUAUUUGUGUACCCUGAAAUCUGUAUUCAUUAUGAGAUAUUUGCUUGGUUUUGUAUGGUUUGGUGCUGAGUAUUGAACCCAGGGGUGCAUACCACUGAGACACAUCCACAUUCCUUUUUAUGUUAUAUUUUGAGACAGGUUCUCACUAAAUUGAUUUUAGCUUCCUUAUGUUAAUGAGGCUGUCUUUGAACUAACAAUUCUCCUUCAUCAUUUUUCAUAGAUUCUAGAAUUUCAGGCAUAUGGCACCAUACAAGACAGUUUUAGAUUUUUAUAAUAGCCAUUCCAACAGCACUGAAUAGGCUGCAGAAAAUCUAUUUGAUUAAUGCAUUAAAUCCCUGAGGCAAGCUUAUGUGAAGUAGCCAGUGUAGGAGUGUUGUGUAAAGAUUAGCAAGAAUUGUAGAAUGUGAUAGACAUUAUUAUCUAAAGUACAUAUAUGAAGACAGGAAUUGAUGUGAACAUACUUUAUAUACAAACAGAGGUAUGAAAAUUGUUCUAUAUGUGUAAUAAGAAUUGUGAUGCAUUCUUCUGUCAUGUAUUUAAACAACAAAACCAAAAAAAUAAGAAAUUUCUUUAUAUCUAUUUUUGAGAAUCAAACUCAGUGGUUUGCACAUGCUAGUGAAGUAGUCUACCACGGAGACACAACUCCAGCACAUGUACCUAGCUUUUUAUACUCUCUUUAUAGUAAUCAGAAACAACUUUAAAAAUUAAAAUUGCAUUUAUAUCACUUUUCCUAGUACAGUAAUGUAUUACUAACUAAACUUAUUCUUAGUAUUUUUAAAAAAUAAUCUAAUGGAUGACUGUUUUUUCCAGAGAUUAUUUUAUCACUUUUUUAGGGCUUGGUGAAGGGUCUUCUUUUUUUUUUUUCAGUGUAUGGAUGUCUCCUAUUAUCAAAUGGGUCCAUGGUAAUUAUGUUCAAAAUAAUGAUUCUAAAAAUUCACACAAUCCUCACCAUUUCCAAGACAAUAGGGGAAAGUGAAAGGACAAUAUUCACAACCAAAAAACUGUUUUCCAUGGAAGCAUAGUAUCAGUGUCCAACCUGGAGUGUAAUCCAGAUCUUUCAGUGAUAAGGUUGUUUAAGAACCACAACCGUAAAUUUUUGGGAUCCUCUAAAGUACACUGAAUGGCUUUAAAUCACUUACUCUUCUUCAAAAUAAAAUUUCUGCUACCCACUUAAAAAAUAAAGCAGUAUGAAUGAGAAAGGUGAAUGAGACUUAAGUUCUUUGGAGGUACUGAGGUUGACCUUUAAUUAUAGUUUAUAAAUAGUCAAAUAAGAAGGGCCUUAGAGUUGUCUCAUCUUUUCCAACAGAUGAUAUGGAAUACUUAGAUGAACUGACAUGAAAUAAUGAAAAUGCAUUUCAGGGAAGUGAUAUCACAGAAAUUUUCAGGGUAGGAUCUUGGAAAUGUGGGAAAAAUAUAUUUGUAUACAUAUACAUUUUUAUAGAAAAAAAUAAGUGAUAAGUACAAGAGUAGGAGGGUAAAUUCAUUAUGCCUCAUGCAUUGUAGGUUAAAGGUAAUGAUAAAGUAGUAACUGAGGAGAUCCAGAACUCUAUAAUUGUGGGAGAUAUUUAUACCAAUUUUGAAAAAGAAAAUAUAAUUAAAUCCCUUUAGAUUUGCCUCUUUCCUUUGUUCUUCUUAUGAAUUUGAUUCUGUCAAAUGAGGUUAUGUGGGUAUGGUUCUCUCUGAAUUUAUGUUUUCUCCUAUUUUUAGGAUUUUGUCAGCUAUGUCAUGUAAAGCCCUGUCCUAAACUCACUUUGGGGCCUCUUUUACCACCUGUUCUUUAAUGCAGAGCAGAGAUCUACCUCAAUCAUUCUAUGCAAUGAAUUGACUUUUGUCAAUCUUUGCAAAAAAUGAUUGGAAGAACAAGCAUAUUGGAGGGAUUUUCAUAUCCUAUAAUAUGGUUGUCAGACCUGUGGCAUUAAAGGGUAGUUACUUGCUAUGUUAGAAACAUCUUUCCCAUGAGAAGGUUUUAUCUAUACCUAUCUAUCUAUCUAUCUAUCUGUCUAAUAUAUAUAUAUAUAUAUAUAUAUAUAUAUAUAUAUAUAUAAUUUGUUUUGGAAGCCCCAUAGACCCAGAAGAGAGGCAUUUAUGGUUUCCAACCAAAGAAUGCCAGAAGCCAUUAGAUGUGAGAAAAUACAAAAAAUAAAAUCUUCUCUUAGAGCUUUUAGAGGUAAAAAGUUUGCUUCUGCUUUCUGUAAGAAAACUAAAAUUUCUCCUUGGCCUGACAAUAUUUUGAUGUUUUAAACUUGCUUGGAAUUUCUAUGUGUGUUCUGAAUUUAUCUAUGCCUGCCUACCCAUUAUCAGAUAACAACCCUCUCUAAAACCUUACUGGUGCCUCAUAAAUCCUGGCUCCUGCUGACCAAAUAACAAUUCUCUCUAAAUCUCAGUGGCAGCUCAUAAAUUCUAAUGUCUGGAGCUGAAUUUAUUCCCUAUCAUGAAAUGUUGAGCCAUGUAGAUCCUUAACCUGCUAUCUGCCUUUGUAUUAUGCUUGUCAAAAUCUUGUUAGAUGUAAGUACCCUAGACACCCACCUCCUUUGUAACUUUUUGUGCUGUAAAAACUUUUUCCUCAAGAUCAGGGGGAUGAUCUCAAGCAUGGGAUCUUGUAAGAGACAGUCCUGACCAGCUUUUGUGUACACAAUACAAUCUUGAUUUAACUUGAUUUAAAAUUGGAGUUGGUGGCCUUUCUUUGUGUUUUGGUUCAACAUUAACCUGUUUUUUUAACUUCACUGUAAAUAAAACCAAAGAACACAACAAAACUCUUGUAAAUGAGCCAGGUGCAUAAUAAUAGUCAUUAUUUACUGAAAGCACAGUAUUCAUUAUAGAAAUGAUAUAAGCUUAAAAAUUAAAAGAUAUCUCAAAUAUCAAGGGAGUUUAGGAGUUAGAAAUUUUUUCUUUCAGAAUAUAGGUAGUAAAAUAGGACAAAAGAGAAAAUGUGAAGCAUAAAUAUAUUAAGUAAUAUGCAAAAAUUUACCAAAAUAUUUAUUACAAAAAUAAUAUCUACAGAAAUGUUUCAAAAUAAGCAGUGUUUUUUGUCAGAAAUAAACAUUUGGACAGGAAUGGGAGUCUUGGUUCUCUUAUUAAGUAGUUUUAAUCAUAGUGAAUAAUCUUUAAACUAUUUCUGCAUUUUACUGGUUGGAAUUAAUUAUAAUUCAUAUAUCUGAGAAAAAGAUACUGAAUGCAGAAAAAUAUUAUUGCUCAUGUUUAAAUCACCUACAUUAUUUGAUCUUUCCCUUUUUAAACCAAAAAUAUGCAUAAAAGCAUCUCUUAAUAAAUAUCUAUAUCUCUGUAUAUUAGCAGAAACUGAGUUAUAAAAUUUGCUAUAAUAACUUGUCUCUUCUGUACUUAAAGACUAUGAAUUUGCUGCUUAGCAUUUAGGUAUAAUUUUUUAUGGUGUUCUCUAGUUAUUUAUAUCUCUAUGCCAAGUUUUAUACCAAGCUCUUUGUAUGUGCCUUAAUUACUCUGUGUAGCAAAGUAGGAUCCAUGUCUUAUUUGUGAUACUUUGUUCCCAGAACUGUGUCUAAAGAGAAAUAUGUACAAGAUGAUUAUCCAAAAAAAAAUCUAUCUAAUAUAAUAUUUUAUAUUUAUUUUUUUAUAUAUUUAUGUAUACAUAUUUUUAUUAUUUAGAAACACACGUUGGUCUGAAAAUACAGUGAUACUAGUUGUGUAUUUUAGCUUGAAUUGUUUAUGAGAAACAAACUUAAAAGACUUUUCUCUUUGUUGGUUGGUGAUUUCUGAAACCUCAUGAACCUAGGGAAUAAUAGCAGAAAUAAAUAUGUAACUCUCUAGUUUGAGGCAGAACCAUCAAACUAGAUGAUGUUUUGCUUCUGAUUCCUAUUUUGAUCAUUAGAAACAUACCUUUAAAUUUACAUGGAACACUUUUGGAAUUCUCUUCUGUUAGUUCUUCUAAAAAAAUCAAUGAAAGUGAAAAAUAAUGCAGAAAGAUAAAUAAUUAAUUUCAAACAAUUUAUUUCUUAAAAUAAAUAUUUUUUUUCAAAUUACCAAAAAUUCUGAAACGUUAGAAAAGUUAAAAUCUUUAGAAAUAGCCUAAGGCAAUUUCGCUUUUGCUCAGGACAGUAGACUACAUCUCCAACUCAUUCUUCUCUAGAAUUGGACUCUGUGCAAAUAUGAAAAAAACGUGCCCCACAUGGCUUAUAAGUUUUAAAAAUCCUGACAGGAGCUCAAAUCUGCCAUUUUUAUAGUUUACAAAAUACAAAAUCUUAAAUUUGUAUAUUUAACAAACAUUUGCAGAAGUGUAAUUCAAAAUGACCUAAAAAAAUGAAAAAAAUCAUUGAAGGACUGACCCACUGAACAUGAGGGACUUAUAAUAUUGAAGCCAUUAUAUUAAAUGUCUUUUUAUAAUUGUCAAAAUUUUCCAUGUUUAUAUUAUCAAUAUAUUAAUCAAAAUUUUUAUGCAUUUGAUAACAAAUAUCUUAUUUUCUAUUUUACUUGGUCUUUUAAAAAAUUAGUAUUGAAUAAUAUUAAUAAUUUAAUGCUCACACUUGUUAAAGUAUAAAAUAUAUACUUUAAAAGCUAUGGCUAUAGCAAGUGAAAAAUCCAGCCUAAUUUCCUUUUAACAUUGGAGCCAUCUCAUCACACAGGCACGAAAAGUUAAUUUCUGCUUCAUUAUAAAUUACUGUGAUUUGUAAACUUGCUUGAAAUGCCUGCCAUUGCCUUGAACUCACCCAUGUCUGGUUUUUCCCUGAUGAGAUAACAACCCUCCCUGAAAUUUUAGUGAUGACUCAUAAAUUCUGGCUUUCCCUGACCAAAUAACAACUCACUCUGAAACUUUAGUGGUGCAUCAUAAAUUCUGAUGUUGUAAUAUAAACUUAUUCCCUAAGUGCUGAACCAUUUAGACCAUUAACCUACUACCUGCCUUUGUAUUAUGCUUGUCAAAAUCCUGUUAUUUGUGUAAGUUCUCAAGAUACCACCCUUUUGCAAAUUUUUGUGCUGUAAAAGUGCAGUCCUAGAGAACUUGAGUGCUGUCUUCUUUUCCCAUGGGUUUCAGAAGUGACUGUUAUGCUUAAAUUUGGGACCCCUAAAAGACCUCCAGAGACCAAGACUGAUGUAAGCAGCAAAGAGGUGUUUAUUGUGAGCUAGCUCAGUACUCCACAUGCACAGCAACUGGUGGCUUAGAGGCCCUGAGCCUGGGGUUUGCAGCAGUUUUAUAUCUCUUUGGGUUAGCCAGGUACCCCACAUACAUCAUAGCAUCUCUUAGCAAAUCAUCACACACCUUGGGAAAAUCAUAAACAACUCUAAAACAUGAUUAGCACAUUCACUGGUGGGAACAAGUUUGGAAAGGGUGAUUGUUUAGUACAAGAUGGGGAUUCAUUUAAACUGAUUAGCUUAGGCCCUGAGGGGAGUUUGUGCUGAACUAAAUGAUUUUCCAAAUUGUUAUAAACCACCAUAAACUACUGGAAGGGCCAUCUGGAAUCCCAGGUAUUUUCCAUGUCUCAUGCUGAUUGUUGGCUGCUAGGGGUUGCUAUGGAUCCCCACCUUGUCUGACUGAAUCAGGGACACCAGGCACAGCAGAUCUCUCCCGUUACUUGUAGAUAAACAACUCAGCAGGAUGGGUAUAUGCCUAGGAGUGCUCUGGGUGUCUUUCCAAAGACAAGGGUCAUGCCCUCUUCCUUGGACAGUCUUUGCUCUGAGGUAGAGGCUGGUUUCUCACCUUGUAUCUUUUGUUUUCUAUGUAUUGUUUUUAUCUGUAGCUGGACACAAUACCUUUAUUUCACUUAUUUAUUUUUAUGUGGUACUGAGGAUUGAACCCAGGGUUUUGCACAUGGUAGGUGAGAACUCUACUACUUAGCCACAAUCCCAGCCCCUUUUGUGUUGUUUUUAUUGGGCAUUUUUACUUUAGGGGGUUUCUUCCCAGUUCAAAGUUCAAUCUGUCACCUACAAACAGCAGAGAUCAAAAAAAUUAAAUAAAAUUUGAUAGUUAUUGUCAUUAUUUUAUAUUAAUUCCUGAAUAAUAUACAAGCAUAUAUAAUCAAUAAACUGAAAUGACCUUAUAACUGAGUUUAAAUGAAAAUGUUCUGUUGUUUGGGUUAGUUCCCACUUAUGGAAAAAAAACCUUGCCUUAAAAUAACAGCAGCCUGAGACUCUGGGGUACAUUUCUCAGAUUAAAAAAAGCAGCACUCAACGACCUGAGAUUCUAGCCCUUAUUCAUUUCUUGAUUGAAUAAUAUUCCCUAAAAAGGGCUCACUUCUCUAAGUUUCAGUGUUCAUGAUCUGAAGCCCCUUUCAAUCAAGAACAUUUUGUGGAAACUGUCCAAUCCUGUGUGUCAUCAGUGGGGAGCAGGGUGGGCUUUCACUUCUUAUCUCCUGAGUCCUUCUUUUUUGCCAUUUGUAGUCUUACACUUCAGGGUCACGGGUUGUUCUGCUUUGAAGGAACUGAGGAUCCCAAGUAGCCCUACUACUGAAAACCAGGCAAUGGUGAGUGUGCAUUGGCCUAGCAAACGAGGCUGGGGGAGAAAGACUAUUGGAACCACAAGACUGGCUGUGCUGAGAACAGGAGCUAGCAUAUUGGGACUCUGGGCAGUCUCUGGAGUCUGCAGGCUUAACUCCUCCACUGGGCCACUAUGUCCUCAGUCCUACUGGCCAAACAGGUAGGGAACAUGUCAGUGGCAUAGACUCUUUGCUGCCUUUCUUAUGCUCAAUGGGCAUCCUCAGCUUCUGCAGAAAAUACUAUGUGGCAGGUGUGUUCCUGCAGCCCAGAUGCUGGAGAUUGACAGGUGGAAUAAUUAUCAAAAUCAACUCUCCAAGGGCCAUUUUCCUGCAGGAGAGGAGCUGUCAUUUUGGGGUACCUAAUUUCCUCUUGAGCUAGCUAAUUUUCAUUUUGACAUUCUUUUAUUUUUACUUUCUUCAUUAUUAUUAUUUUGUUAACGUUAGAUAAACUGAGGGAUACUGUACUACUUAGCCAUAUCCUUGGUAGUGAAGCCAGAUUUACUAAUAGGUAGUUAGUGUAGUUAGGUAAAUUGGGUCUAAUAUCCAGUAAAAUCAAGAAUGAACACCAUAUUGAGAAUGGAGUCUAGGAAAAGGGGAAUUGAAAAUGUCCCCAAGGCCCUGAGCCCAUCCCAAGGAAAUUUUAAUGAAGCAGCUCACAGCAAACACGGAGAUGCUAAUCCAAAAGCCCUUCCUGCCCAGAUUACUCCUUCAGCCCACCUGUCCUCCACUCUUUGGGCCUUCCCACCUACAUUCCAUAAGUGCAAGAUAACAGAACUAAGGACAGCAAUGUGACAGGAAUGCGGGGUAGCUGAAGGAAGACCUUAGCUUUAAAAAAGCUAAAAAAGACCUUAUUUUUAAAAAAAAUACCUUUCAUGGAUUCUACCUCUUGGGUCCCCUUUUUCCUCUGGGAAGAAAGAAGUCUUUUCUACUGUCCUUUAAUAAAGCUUCUACUUUCCACUCUAAACUUACCUUGGCGCACUUCUCUGGAGUUAACAGGUUUAAAUUUAUUUUGAGAAAGGUCCUAUCUAAGUUGCUGAGAUUAUUUUUGUUAUUUUUUUUUAAUCUAAAAUUUGCUAUUGCAAUAAAGCAUACUGUUUUUACAUACAUAUUUAUUCAUAUGGGGAUCUUAUUUAUAUCAUGAUUCUUUGAUGAUUAUUUUAAUAUUAUAAUUUCACAAUAUAUAUACAUAGUAGGUCAUGAUAAGUUCUUUUUUUGCUCUUAUAAUUGAAAAGGUUUUUUGGCCAAAGUUACAUAUAACUUUGUAGAUGAAUUUUAAAAGUUUAUGCUUCGGUUUCUUACUUCAUUUAAAGUAAAGCUUUUUUUUUUUUUUUUUUUUUUUAAAGAGAGAGGAGAGGGGGAGAGAGAGGGGGAGAGAGAGAGAGAGAGAGAGAGAGAGAGAGAAUUUAUUUAUUUAUUUUUAGUUUUUCGGCGGACACAACAUCUUUGUUUGUUCGUGGUGCUGAGGAUCGAACCCGGGCCGCACGCAUGCCAGACGAGCGCGCUACCACUUGAGCCACAUCCCGAGUCCAUAAAGCUUGUUUUUGUUUUUUUUUAUUAUUGCAUUAUUGUUGUAUUUAAGAUUCAGGUUUAUUUUGACAUAACUGUAAAACAUGAAAUAUGAUUUGCUCCCCUUAAGUAUCUAGUAGUUCCCUUUUCCCUGUUCUCCUACUUUCUUCUAUCAUAUAUUUAUUCAUACUUUUUUUAAAAAAAAUAUUGUUUUAUAUAAUACACAUAAAAGUAGACUUCACUGUGAUAUAUUCAUAUUUGUGCAUAGCAAUUUUGGUGAGAUAUAUUGUGGGUUAAUUUGGGGGAAAAUUAUCACCUUUGUAAUGAUGAGUUUUAUCAUCUAUACAUGGGAUGUAUAAUUCAGUCUUUUAUGUGCUUUUUGUGACUUUUAUUUUCUCAUAACUUCUACAUAUUUUGUUUCUAAAAAUGUACAUAUGUGAAAUACCACUUGCAUAAGGCAACUAUGUAAAGUUUAUAUAUAGUAUUUUAUGCUCUUUUUUAAACUGGAUAUAUUAUGAAAUGUGACGGGCCCUAGUGACCAUUUUUCCUACAGAUUAUUAUUUAUCUCUUCCAAGAUGUAUAUUGUAUUGAGCCAUGCCCUUGGGCUUCAAGUUUUUGCGUGAGUAACAUUGCGUACUUAUAUGUUAUCAUGAUCACAUUUGCUCUAAUUUCAGUAAGUCUCUGUGAUGGGGAGUAUCAUGUAUAUUCAAUAGCAAAAUAGUUUCCACAAAUAGAUACUAACUUAAACUCUUUUUGAGUUAAUGAUUACUAAUUUGUUUUAAAUGUUCAUCAAUAUUACUUAAUUGUUCCCAUGAUGGGUUUUUAUUUUGUAUUUCUUAAAUUUCUAAAAAUUUUAAAUUUUUAUUGUUAAUAAACAUAUCUCAAGUAUAAAUUUGCAGUUCAAACUUCUGUCCUUUAUAUCUUUUGGCUGGAAAGAUGAGAAAAGGAUCCAAAAUGCAGCUAGAGAUUGAUUUCAAGAAAAAGAAAGGUUUAAUUUAUUCUUUAAAAUUGACUCUUUUCUUUACUCUUCAUUUAUUAUAGGUUUCUUCUAUGAUUGUAAGGGUAGGUUAUUUAAAGUGGAUUUUAGGGCUUAUCUUUUUUAAUUACUACAGGAAAAAUAAAUAAGAAAUUUCUCUACACUAUGGCUGCAGGAAAAGGAAUAAAUUUCUUUAAAAUCAUAUGGUAAUAAAAUUGUUAAAUGACAUAUUUAGUAAACAUCCACUCCUUAAAAAACUUUUUCUGUAAUAUUUUUGGCAGUGAAUCAUAAAUUCUAUUGUCUGGAUUUUGUGAUUUAAUAUAAUAUCAUAUGGAAUAAAAUUUGGCCAAUUCUAGAAAUAUUCAUACAUAAUUUGUUAUUUACUUAAUGACAUGUUGUGGAGAUAGAAACUAAUGAACAUAUUUACUUUUAGAAAUAGUUACUUUUGUGCUUUUCAGUUUCUAAUAAGCCUUUUAGAUUUAUUUCCUUACUGAGUCACUCAAGGCCACAGAUUUUUUUUUGUUGUUAUCUCUAGGCAUUUACCCUUCUAAGAAAUCUGUCUUGUGAGCUCUGUUUUCUGAAGAGUUUCUUAACAUGAAAAAGAAAGUAUUUAUCUUGUCCCUGAAAUGUAUUCUCAAUGCACUCUCUUCAAAAUGGAGAGAAAAUAAUAUUUCCCCACACUGACAUCCCUGUGUCAGGAGCUAACAAUACAUUGAUGGUCUUUGAAGAAAUUUCAUAAGUUUUGUCUCUGGGUAGUUUUCUGUGGGCUGCUGAAUUGCCAUUUAGUAUCCAGAUACCCAUGUUUUUUUUUUUUUCAUCUGUACUAUGCGAAUAAUUUUAGAGGGCACAGAUGAAUAAUGCUCUUCAUGAGGCUAUGAACACCUGUAUGUUCUGUAGUGCACAGCUGAGAAAGCCCCUGGAAGACACUGUGCAGAUACUAAUUGGUUAACCAUUAUCUGCCACUCACAUGAUUUUUUUUUUCAAAAGCUUGUAAUAACCUUUUCACUUUAGGCAUCCAUGUCAUCCACAUUCCCAAGUAUAAAAGUAUGAAUCUUUCUUUUCUGAAUUCCAGGUUCCAUUUCUCUUAUGGUUCAAUGUGGUGCAAAUAAUUUUUUGUCUUUCCUUUACACUGUGUAUCUAAUAAAAAUGUUCUCUGCUUCAAGCCUGUAUUUCCUAUGGCCAGCUAUGUUUAGAAAAUGACAUAGAAAAUUAUAUUUGAUAAUUUAUAAAGAAGAGUUGAGAAUAUUUCUUGCUCAUGUCUCCCUUCCUUAGAAACUGAACCAGAACUAUACUUGGCCCUGUAAAGGGAGCACCAUAAUCAAUCAGAUAUAUAGAAAAAAUGUUGAUUGAUUGUAUAUUCUGUUCUAAGAAUUCUCUGUUAAAAUCCUUGGCCCAUUUCUUGAUUGGGUUGUUGUUCUUGUUGUUGUUGUUGUUGUUGUUGUUGUUGUUAUUAUUAUUAUUAUUAUUAUUAUUAUUAUUAUUUUCCCAGCUUUUUGAGUUCUUUAUGUACCUUAGAGAUUAGAGCUCUAUCUGAUGUGUGAGGGAUAAAAAAUUCAUUCUGGGAUGUAGGCUCUCUCUUCACCUCACAAAUUGUUUCUUUUGCUGAGAAUAAACUUUUUAGUUUGAUUCCAUUCCAUUUAUUGAUUAUUUGUUUUAAUUGUUGUGCUAUAGGUGUCUUAUUAAGGAAAUUGGGGCCUAAUCCCACAUGAUGAAAAUUAGAGCCUGUGUUUUAUUCUAUUAGAUGCAGUGUCUCUGGUUUAAUUCCUAGGUUCUUAAUACACUUUGAGUUUUGUGCAUGGUGAGAGAUAGUGGUUUGUUGAAGAGGCUAUAUUUUCUCCAGUGCAUGUUUUUGGCACCUUUGUCUAAUAUAUUAUAAUUGUAAUUUUGUAGGUUAGUCUCUGUGUCCUCUAUUCUGUACCAUUCAUCUUCCAGUCUGUUUUUUUUUUUUUUUUUUUUUGCCAAUGCCAUGCUGUUUUUCUUACCAUUGGUCUGCAGUCUAGUUUAAGUUCUGUUAUAGUGAUGCCACCUGCUUCACUCUUCCUGCUAAGGAUUGCUUUAGGUAUUCUUGGUCUCUUAUUUUUCCAGAUAAAUUUCAUGGUUGCUUUUUCUAUUUCUAUGAGGAAUGCCAUUGGAAUUUUGAUCAGAAUUGCAGGAAAUUUGUAUAGUGCUUUUGUUAGCAUGCUUAUUUUGAUAAUAUUAAUUCUGCCUAUUCAUGAGCAAGGUAGAUCUUUCCAUCUUCUAAGGUCUUUUUUGAUUUUUUUUUCUUUAGGGUUCUGUAGUUUUUCUUUUUAUAUCUUUCACCUCUUUCAUUAACUUGCUUUACAAGUAUCUUAUUUUUUUGAAGUUAUUGUAAAUGAGGUAGUUAUCGUCAUUUCUUUUUUUUUUAUUUUUCAGUUUUUGGUGGACACAACAUCUUUGUAUGUGGUGCUGAGGAUCGAACCCAGGCUGCAUGCAUGCCAGGCGAGCAUGCUGCCGAUUGAGCCACAUCCCCAGCCCUCGUCAUUUCUUUCUCAGAAGAUUUUUCACUAAUAUACAGAAAUGCCUUUAAUUUAUGGGUGUUGCUUUUAUAUCCUGUUAAUUUGCUAAAUUUAUUUACUAGUUCUAGAUGUUUUCUGGUGGAGCUUUUUUAGUUUUCUAGAUGUAUAAUGAUAUCUGGCAUUUGCAGGUAAAUGGAUAGAAUUCGAGAAAAUAAUGCUAUGUGAUGCUAGGCAAUUAAAAAAAAUUCAAAUUUUUGUCUUAUAUAAAGAGGCUGACUCAUAAUGGGGUAGGGAAGGGGAGCAUGAGAGAAAUACAUGGAUUCUCAAUAAAGAAGAGAGGUGAGAAGAAAAGAAAGGGGGCAGGGGAUUAGCAAGAUUGGUGGAAUGUAAUAUAGUUCAUCAUCAAAAGUACAUGUAUGAAGACACACAUUGGUAUCACCAUACUUUAUAUACAACCAGGGAUAUGAAAAAUUGUGCUCUAUACAUGGUAUAAGAAUUGUAAUGUUUCUGUUGUCAUUUAUUUAAAAAAUCGAUUAAAAUAUGAAAAAUUGUUUAUAAAUUAUAUAUAUUAAAUAUAUGCAUGUUAUAUAUAGAAUAUAUGCAUAUAUACAUUUAUAUAUAGAUCUAGGGGAAGGCAAGUCUCUUUCCUAAUUUUUUAAAAAUCAAUUAACUUUUUUUUAACUUGCUAUUAGAGAAGAAUGCAUUUCACUUCAUAGUACACAAGUGGAGUAAAAAAAUUUAUUUCUCUUAUACAGAAAGUAUAAUUACAAAACCCAUGUAACACUACUUUGUGUACAAAAUAUUUCCAUCUCAUUCUACCAUCUUACUUACCUUUAUACCAUCUCCCAUCACCUCCCUCCCCUUUGUUUUAUUCAAAGUUUCUUUAUUUCUUCCAUGCUCCCUCCCACUUCCCUCAUUGUGGAUCAGGAUCCACUUAGCAGAGUAAACAUUAGUCUUUGGUUUAGUGGAUUGGUUUACUUGCCUUAACAUGAUAUUCUCCAACUCCAUCCAUUUACUUCCCAGUUCCAUAAUUUUAUUCUCUUAAUGCUCAGUAAUAUUUCACUGUGUACGUAGACCAUAUUUUAUCUAUUCAUCUAUUGAAGAGCAUAUAGGUUGGUUCUAUAGUUUACCUAUUGUGAAUUGUUUUGCUAUAAACAUUAAUGUGGAUAUGUGACUGUAUUAUGCUGUUUUUAACUCUUGUUGGUCUAAGCUGAGGAGUGGGAUAGCUGGGUAAAUUUUGGUUUCUUUCCAAGUUUUCUAAGGAAUCUCUUUAUUCUUUGUCCACAUUGGUGUCACCAAUUUAGAGUCCUACCAACUGUGUAACAGUGGGCCUUUUUCCCCACAUCCUCACCAACAUAUAUUUUUGCUUGUAUUUUUAAUAACUGCCAUUGUUAUUGAACUAAGAUUAAAUUUUAGAGUAGUCUUGACUUGCAAUUUUUUAAUUGCUAGACAUGUUGAACAUUUUUUAUUGAUUGAUUGAUUGAUUGAUUAUCUUCUAAGAAGUGUGUCUCUUCAGUUCCUUAGCCCAUUUUAUUUAGUGAUUGGGAAAUUUCUUUUUUGGCAUUAAGUUUUUUAAGUUCUUUAUAUAUCCUGGAAAUUAGGGGUUCUAUCUGAUGUGCAUGUGGUAAAAAUUUGCUCCCAUUCUCUGGUAUCACUUUUUGCCUCACUGAUUGUUUCUUUUGCUGAGAAGAAUCUUUUCAGUUUGAAUUCAUUCCAUUUAGUGACACUUGUUUCUAUUUUUUGUGCUUUAGUAGUAUUCCUAAAGAAUCAAAAUUUCAAAUCCUUUACCUGGGAUUAGAGGUGUAUGACAUCAUUCAUAACAACACAAUUUAUCUUUAUUUCAAUUCCACUUUCUUAAGGGGCUUUCAUCCUAGGAAUUAAAGGAAAAUGUUAUAGAUAGGCCAUUGGGUCUACGGACAUGCCAUAAAAUAAGGAAUAUUCCAUUAAUCAAUUUAAAUAAUAGACUCAAAUCUUUGGAUCUGGGGAAAACACACACACACAAAAUCACACAUCAUACACUUUCUUGUUGAAUCUCCCUGCCCUCACUCAGGGCAGUUUCUCUCUAGAUUUUUAUAUCUUAGGAGAAAUAUUGCUAAAAAAAUGUAUCUUUAACCUGUAUCAUAUAAAGAAAUGGUCAUGUCCUUCAUCUUCCUGAACUCAGGACAAGCAUAAAGCUCAAAUAUGGUAGUGAACUGCGAUUUUCUGAAGUCUUGACAUAGUUUGAUGGUGCUAUUCCAAAAAUACAUAUACUUCAUUAGUAAUAUUUUAGUCACAUAAUGGUAAUUUUCACAUAUUGGAUAAUUUGUGUUGUGCUAUAAAAUUCAAUUUUUAUAUUUUUAUAUAAAUUCUAAAAAAAAUAUUUUUUGACCUUAUAUAAUUUUAAUGUUCAAUAUGUCUCCAUACAAGAGAUGUUAACUAAAAUUUUACAGGAUUGUCACUGUAUUAUUUCCAUCCAUAAAUAAUAUAUUUACAUGUAUAAUCUACAAAUAAAAUGUUUUUUCUGGGUUGGCUGGAUUUUACUUCUCCAAUGAUUCCUUGCCUUAAAAUAGCUGUAGCCUGAGGAACUGGAUUUCAAUUCCCAGAGCUUCAAAAGAAAUAAAAAUUAAAUGUACAGAUAAGACCCUACAAUUGUGACAUCAUUUAUUUGUGGAUUUGAGGUUAUCUCCUGUCACUAAAAAAACUCACUAGGCUCAGAUUGAACAUAUGAAGACAUAAGCUGUGUCCCAUCAAGAGCCCUUAUAUAAGCAUUGUCCAAUCCACACACAUUCAGUAAAGAGAAGCAAGUUUUGACCAUCUGGUGUGAAGCCUGCCAGUGUGGGUAUCCAUUUCUAGGCUCCCUCACUUAUAUUCAGUGAACCUGAUUUUUUUGCUUCUGUAUACAUACUUUGUGAUUUAUAGGGAGGACACUUGGUUCCUACAAAUACAGUAAAUGAUGAGUGUGCAGAGAAAUCUUGAGACUGGAUAGUGAGUCUGGUUGAAACUGGCUGCACUGACUCUGGUGGGAACCAGCAAUGAGCAGUAGAUUGCACAAUGGUAAACAAUAAAUAAAUAAAUAAAAGGGAAGGGGAUAGAAAUAUUAAAGAUAUAUAUCCUACCAUGAUAGCUACCAACAAAAAUAGAAUUUUAAUUAGGAUAAGAUAUAUCCUCUGCUUGCAUAAUGCCAUAAAAUUGAUUUUACUAUCAGGUAAAACUAGAAAGAACCAAUAAAAAUUAUAUUUGUUUGAAAAGCUAUAUGUAUAUUCUAUUAUAAACAUCAUACAAUAUAUACAUCAAUCAAAGUUUUUAUAUAAAUGUAUAAAUUAUUUUGUAUGUUAUAAAUUGUUAAAAGUAUAAAAAGAAAAAUCCAAACAGGAUUGUUAUUGCUAUUCUUUAUAUUAAUAACAUACAUAAAUACCAUAAAAUAUUUCAACUUGAAUUCACUGUUAAAUAUUUCCAUUAAGUGGUCUACCUACCUUGUUACAUUUCAAAAAUUCUGUCAUACCAUUGGUAUUGGAAUUACUAGACAUCUCACUACAUAUUCAGAAUAGCCAGCUCCAUUAGAGAAAUAACAAAUAAGAUUCUACACUUUAGUAAAUCUCUGAUUAGUGGUUGUACAAUUAAAAUUUGAGGAUUCCCUUUCUUAAUUACCAUAAUUUUCUCAUCUGAAAAAUAUGUAUAGUUUAGAUCAUUAUAUAAAAAAUCACAAAAUAUAUAUUUUUGUGGUAAUGCCUGUGUUUUACAUUGUGUUUCAUAAAUGCAGAAUAUAUAUAUACUUUUUUGAACUUAAAUCAGUUUAUCUGCAGAAGUAGAUAAAGUAUCAUUGUGUUCCAACUCACCACCUACAUGAUAAUUUAUUAAAUCUCAUUUCAACUUCAAUUACCUUGCAAACUGUGCAAAUGUUCAUGUGGUCAAUGUGUUAUUUAUUUAUCUGUUUUUAUUUCAGAUACUGUUAACAUUCAGGGAUAUAGCCAUUGAUUUUACUGAAGAGGAGUGGGAAUGCCUUCAGCCUGCUCAGAAAAACUUAUAUAAAGAUGUGAUGUUAGAGAACUAUAGAAACUUUACCUUCCUUGGUAAGUUUAAUUUCCUUUUAAAAAUUUUAAUUAAUAAUUAUUAUUUAAUUUAAUUCUGUUGUAUCUUCUGGGAACUUCUCUAUAAGAAUGAGUUUCAGAUUUUUGUUUCAAAGAAAAAGGGCAUUUUUAAUAUAGAUAUUUUAUUCUUUAAUAUAUAUUAUUUUGCUCUUUAAUCUCUCUCUUCCUUGGUGUGUUAUACAUCUUUCACUUUAGAUAAGUUUUACCUAGCAUAAUUUAAUGAUGUAAACUAUUGUAGCCUAACAUAGCAGGGGACACAGUUGAGACGUUCAAAUGGAGAAAACAAAACUAAAAAAUGUUGACAGAGUAGUUAUUCAGCAGAAAAAAAAAUUCAGAACCUUAGCUUUAUUUCUUUUUAUUGUAAUCAUUGAACACAUACUACCCUACAUUUAUUACAUUUUCAAAUCCUUUGUAGUCCUCUGUUUUCUUCUUUAGUGAUGUCCCAGUUUAUUCAGACUAAUGACCAAAACUUACCUUUUGUUCUGAGGGCCAGCAUGAUCUGUUACAAAUCUUGUGAGGAAACCUGUAAAGAAGCAAACAGAAGAAAGAGACAUACAGUGAAAAGGAAAAAAGAAAAAAAAAAAACUGGCCACUCCUCAUCCCGGCUGUACAUUGUAUACCCCAAAAUAUCAUAGCUUCUGUUACCAUGACUACAUUCUAACCUAGUGUUAUUUUAACCCCAAGUGAUAGCUAACCAAGAUAAGGUACAGUUACUACAAACAUAGACCCCUUUCUCCCUAAGGACAUUACCACAGAAACUAGAGAGUGCACCUGUAGAGUUGUCUUAAUAGCUUCAGGGAGAAACUGCUAGGCAUUACUAUUGUGGAACUCAGGGUGCCAGUUAUCAUCAUCCCCACACUUUCCUGUCUAUUUCCAUGGUCAGAAUACCUACAGCCUCCCCUCCUUUUUAAAUACCUUUUGAAAAAAUAAUAUUACUUAUCUUGUUAAUGCUGGUGGGGCCAAAAAAUAAGGCAGCCAUACACAACAGCAAGUGCCAACAUCAGUAAAUAUCCACCUAUAAAUAUUUUUUGACCCAGAUCAAAUUGAGUAAACAUGAAAUUAUCCAAUCCAACAAGUCUAAACAUCAAUCAUCUUGUUGGACCUUAUUAAUGAUAUUUUUAAGGUAAUCUAACUCUUUAGAAAUAAAAUUACUAUUAUCACUUACAUUGAAGGAACACAUGUUAUUAAACUUAUGAUAUCCAUUAUGAUGUAACAAUACCAGACACUCAAGUGCAGCAUGAAUGUCAAGUAUGGCUUGACAAUGUUGUUUUUGUUCUUCAUUAAGCAUAUUAACAGCCAUGGAGGCAUGGCUAAUACUUUUUAUGAUAGGAUAGGUGAAUUUCAUAGUAGUUUCAUAAGGCCAUAGAGCUAGUCCAAGAAAACCUUCUAAGGAGAAUGUCAAAGUAUCACAUUCUGCCUUAGAGAGAAGGUUCACUCAAUUAUCACAGUUUUUAUCAAGAAGAAUAGAUCUUUUGUAAAUAAAUUGCACAGGAUGGUGACCUAUUAAAUACUAUGUGGAUAAUAAGGACACAGUUAUUCUGCUAAGACAACAAUGAGUACCAUUAGAAAUUUUUGCAGGUAUAUAACAAUUUCAUUCAAGUGAGUCAAGGUAUUGUAAUGGGUUGUAGAAGUCCAGGAUCUGACAGUACUGAAUUUCCCACAGCGGGUGUACAAAAACAGGGUAACAUUAUUAUUAAGACCAAAACAUUUACAGAGUUUUGAGUGAGUGUAACAGUCAAAGCAGUAACUAAGUUAUCCAGAGUACAUUCUAACCUAUUUGAGCCAACACCUUUUGAGCUGAGGCUGUUAACGGUUUUAUUUCCCCCAUGUAACUGGAAUUAUAGUAUCUUGUGUUCCUCUUUUAAUGUUUCUCCUCUUUUGAGGAGAAUGAUUAUUCUCUUGUUUGGAGGGACUCUUCUCUUCCAGGGUUAAAUGGAUUUUACGAAUAAGCUUGUCAAGUCCCUGAUGUACAUUUAUAAUUGCUAUAUUUCAUGCAUCAAGCUAGAGUCAAAAAGAACAUGUUGGCAUAAGUUUAACAGUCUAUGCUUUUCCCCAUGUGAUCAAAAGCAUAGUAUCUUGCCAUGCUGAUAAGGUGGAAUCUUAUAUAUAUAUAUAUAUAUAUAUAUAUAUAUAUAUAUAUAUAUAUAUAUAUAUAUAUAUUAAAGAUUCAAUUCUUUUGUUUUGUUACUUGCAAUAAUGCAUUGAUGAUCAUAAAUAUUUUGAAGUGAAUAGCUCAUAAUAAUUCUACUUUGAAAGUUGUUUUCUAUAUUUCAUAUUUUUUCUAUUUUGAUUAAUUAUUUAAUUUCUGGAUCAUAGCUUUUUAUUGUGGCAUUCUUAGAGAGAGAGAUACCCUUUAUAUAUUCUAUAGGUUUUUAAUUUUUACAGUAUUUCACAAGUUGUUUAGACUUAACCUUGGUCAUGCUUCAUAAGCCUCUCUCAUAUUGGUAGAAUUUUAGCUUUGCACAAUAGGAAUCCCCCUGUCAUUUAUUCUUAAAUAAUUAUUCACAUACAAAAUUUGUGCCUAAAUAUAUUAAUUUUUUAACAAUUUUACUCUUUAAACUUUCUUUAAAUAGUUAUUUAGUGUUCUUUGAAUAAUUCAUAACUGUCAGUAUCCUGAUGUUCAGUUCUUAAUGUUUUUUUUUUUUUCUUAUCUUGUUACUUGGAUUAAGCCAUGUUUCUCUUUGUUUAUAUUUGCUGUACUAUUUUUUAUUUGUUCAUUAAAGGAGCCAACAGUAGAUUAUAUAGUCCAUUUUGGAAAAAAGUAUAAAAACUUUUAAAUAAAUAAAAAUACGCAAGAACAGUGCUGUAUCCUUGUAAUAUUUGGUAAUUUGUGGGCCAUUCAAAAGUACUUCAUGUUUGAGGGAAGUCACAGAAAGGUGGUAACAGCAUGUUUAAAACAAUUUUAAAAAGACUUGUGUUGUAGUUCAGUGAUAUCAAAUUUGGGGGGUUAAUCUCAGGAACCACACAUGAAAAAUUAAAAGUUGGAUGACCUAAAGAUUCAGAAAUGCCAGUACAAAAUAUGUAUCCAUAUUCAAUUAAAUCAGAAAAUUGAAGAGAUACCUCUGCCUUUCUGUUUAUUGCAAACAUUUUUUCAGUAUUAAAGGUAGGGACUCAAUGUAUGUGCCCAUCAAUGAUCAAAUGAGUAAAAAUAUUGUGCUUGUAUAUUAUUAUUAUUUAGAAAUGAAAAUAUUUUGUCCUAUAAAGUGUUUUAAGGAAUACAUUCAGGAUUUGCAUUAAGUGAAAUGUGGAUGGCAGAGAUUAAGUUGCAGGACUAUUUGAUUGACAUGUGGAAGUCAAAAAUUUGGUGAGUAAAAUUAUGCUCACCAGGUACUGUGUUUUGUGUAGGGUUGACAUUAUAGUCAAAGUCUCCAUAUUUUUAUUUUAUUGAGCAUAAGAGGGUCAGGAGUUUUGUUUUACCAAAUGGUGAGUGUAUUAUGUUCUUCAUAAAUACUAGUAGAAGGAAUACAAUACCUUGUAAGAACAAAACUGAUAAGUAUAAGAAAUAAUUAUUGUGUUAAUUCAUUCUGUUUAGUCAUUUUACCUUUUAUAUAUAGCAUAAAAUACCAUAAUAUAUUUAGUAAAUAAAGUUGUAUUUGUCAAUUAAAUAAAUCAUCAUAUCACAUGAUUUUAAAUAUGAAAAUCAAUUUAUUUACUUGAUUGUCAUGUGUUGACUUCAUCCAUGUUUUAUGGCAUAGGCUAUACAAGAUUUUUAUAGUCUUUUAAAAUGUUUUUAUGGAAAAUUUAAUAGACAUAUAUGUGUAUUUUUCUUAAUAAUUUUUUUGUUCAUAUUUCUUAUUAAAAGUCCAUAGCCUCUUUUCCCUUGUUGACUAUUUGUGGUAUUAUCACUCAAAAUCUACUGGUUAUUUUUAUAUCUCUAUGUCAUCGUAGACAAAAAUCAGUUUUUGAACACUCUUUGAAAAAGCCACAAAUGUUUGUAUAUGUUUUACAUUUCUUUUAUUCUACUGAGAGUGAAGGUAGCUGGUAGAUAUUUCCUAAAUACGUAAUGCUAUCUUAUGAAGGACAAAAGGCUGUGGAUGAUAAAAGUAACAUACUUUCCUUCUCUUUAUUAUAUUACUCUUCUUAAUGAUGUACUCCUCUUAGAUACUCUGGUCUCUAAAAUAAUUUUGGUAAUAUUUUCAAGAUAAUUAUCUAUGUAUAUUUUUUAAAGAGAGAGAGAGAGAGAGAGAGAGAGAGAGAGAGAGAGAGAAUUUUUUAAUAUUUAUUUUUUUAGUUUUCUGCAGACACAACAUCUUUGUUUGUAUGUGGUGCUGAGGAUCAAACCUGGGCUGCACGCAUGCCCGGAAAGUGUGCUACCACUUGAGCCACAUCCCCAGCCCCUGUGUCUGUACAUAUUUAUUGAACUGAUAUAUUUUUGAAUUUAUGAUGACUUUGAAAGUACUACUCUGCUACACUCCUGAUGUACUUAUUUUACCUUAAUUUCAUGUUGUGUAUGCAAAGUAUAUUUAUCCCACUCUAGUAGGUAUUGUGUUUUUUAAAAAAAAUUUGUUUAUUUCAGCCCUGAAUUCUCAAGAUACCCAAGAAUAUUCACCAGAAAAGGGCAUAAAACAUAUAUUUCACAAAGUGAUAAGUGGAAAAUAUAGAGGGUGUAAUAUUGACUAUUUACAACAAAAGAAAAUAUGGAAAACUUCAAGUGAGAGUAAACACCAGAAAUCAUAUAAUAAUUCAGAACUUGUGCACCACCAUAGAAUUUAUACUGGAGAGAAGCCCUACAAAUGCAAAGAAUGCGGCAAAGCUUUUAGUCAAAAGAUAGACCUUAUUCGCCACAGGAGAACUCACACUGGUGAGAAGCCCUACAAAUGCAAAGAAUGUGGCAAAGCUUUCAGUCAAAAAUCACACCUUAUUGGCCAUAGAAGAACUCACACUGGAGAGAAGCCCUGCAAAUGUAAAGAAUGUGGAAAAGCUUUCAGUCAAAAAACAGACCUUAUUUACCACACCAGAACACACACUGGAGAUAAGCCCUACAAAUGUAAAGAAUGUGGCAAAGCUUUCAGUCAAAAAUCAAAACUUAUUUGCCACAGAAGGACUCACACUGUAGAGAAGCCCUACAAAUGUGAAGAAUGCAGCAAAGCUUUCAGUCAAAAAUCAUAUUUUAUUUGCCACAGGAGAACUCACACUGGAGAGAAGCCCUACAAAUGUAAAGAAUGUGGAAAAGCUUUUAGCCAUAAAACAGGCCUUAUUCACCACACCAGAAUGCACACUGGAGAGAAGCCCUACAAAUGCAAAGAAUGUGGCAAAGCUUUCAGUCAAAAAUCAAAACUUGUUUGCCACAGGAGAACUCACACUGGAGAGAAGCCCUACAAAUGUGAAGAAUGCAGCAAAGCUUUCAGUCAAAAAUCAAACCUUAUUUGCCACAGAAGAAUUCACACUGGAGAGAAUCCCUACAAAUGUAAGGAAUGUGGCAAAGCUUUUAGCCAUAAAACAGGCCUUAUUCACCACAGCAGAAUUCACACUGGAGAGAAGCCCUGCAAAUGUCAAGAAUGUGGAAAAGCUUUUAGCCAUAAAACAGGCCUUAUUCACCACACCAGAAUGCACACUGGAGAGAAGCCCUACAAAUGCAAAGAAUGUGGCAAAGCUUUCAGUCAAAAAUCAAAACUUGUUUGCCACAGGAGAACUCACACUGGAGAGAAGCCCUACAAAUGUGAAGAAUGCAGCAAAGCUUUCAGU
rnacentral:lncRNA from 1 species